rnacentral:rRNA from 1 species
UAGAGUUUGAUCCUGGCUCAGGACGAACGCUGGCGGCGUGCCUAAUACAUGCAAGUAGAACGCUGAAGGAGGAGCUUGCUUCUCUGGAUGAGUUGCGAACGGGUGAGUAACGCGUAGGUAACCUGCCUGGUAGCGGGGGAUAACUAUUGGAAACGAUAGCUAAUACCGCAUAAGAGUAGAUGUUGCAUGACAUUUGCUUAAAAGGUGCAAAUGCAUCACUACCAGAUGGACCUGCGUUGUAUUAGCUAGUUGGUGGGGUAACGGCUCACCAAGGCGACGAUACAUAGCCGACCUGAGAGGGUGAUCGGCCACACUGGGACUGAGACACGGCCCAGACUCCUACGGGAGGCAGCAGUAGGGAAUCUUCGGCAAUGGACGGAAGUCUGACCGAGCAACGCCGCGUGAGUGAAGAAGGUUUUCGGAUCGUAAAGCUCUGUUGUAAGAGAAGAACGAGUGUGAGAGUGGAAAGUUCACACUGUGACGGUAUCUU